CUGUACACACCCAUCCCUAAGAGAGAUUCUCCGCGGUUCCCAGCCUGAGUCCCAGAUCCAGGCCUACACAUAUGGCCUGUGGAGAAGCUGAAGCCAGUGCCCAUAGCAAGAAUGAACCAUGGCAUCUUUUUCUCUGGGUAUUCCUACCUAGUGUGUCACAAGGCCCAGAAGAGGCCUCCCAUCUGCACCUGAGGAUAGGCCAGCAGUCAUCCUGAAAGGAGCAGGGGGCCUGUGCUCUGCUGGCUGAGAACCUCAACACCAUGCUGGGAGAGCAGACUGUGCAGCGUCCUGUGCAGCGCCCUGAGGGUCAAGAGAAUAAAUCUGACCUCUUCAUGAAUUACUUCCCAUGAGGCCUCAAGUACCGGGAAGGUGGCGUGGAGUUGGCAUUUCACCAGACAACCUCGAGCGCCACCCCAGCAGCCAUCAGGAAGCUCUACCAGGUUAAGGGUAAGAACAUCUGUGUGACCGAGAGGGCUCUGAGCUGGGACAGCUUCAACACUGGGGACUGCUUCAUCCUGGACCUGGGUCUGAACAUCUUUGCCUGGUGUGGUAGAAAGUCGGAUAUCCUGGAGCGCAACAAGGCGAGGGACCUGGCACUGGCCAUCAGGGACAGCGAAUGGCAGGGCAAGGCCCAGGUGGAAAUCAUUACUGAUGGAGAGGAGCCAGCUGAGAUGAUUCUAGGCCCCAAGCCUGCUCCAAAGGAGGGUAACCCUGAGGAAGACAUUACAGCUGACCAGACCAAGGCUCAGGCGGCAGCCGCGUAUAAGGUCUCUGAUGCCACUGAACAGAUGGAUAUGACCAAGGUGGCUGAC